CUGGUGUUGAAGGCCCUGCAAAGCAGCAUCGCGGUGGCGGAGCGUCGUUUGCGACGCCCAACACACAAAACAAGCGGUGAAUGCUUUGGGGUGGGGUGACUGCGUACCUUUUGUAUAAUGGGUCAGCGACUUAUAUUCUGUAGCAAGGUUAACCGAAUAGGGGAGCCGGAGGGAAACCGAGUCUUAAUUGGGCGUUAAGUUGCAGGGUAUAGACCCGAAACCCGGUGAUCUAGCCAUGGGCAGGUUGAAGGUUGGGUAACACUAACUGGAGGACCGAACCGACUAAUGUUGAAAAAUUAGCGGAUGACCUGUGGCUGGGGGUGAAAGGCCAAUCAAACCGGGAGAUAGCUGGUUCUCCCCGAAAGCUAUUUAGGUAGCGCCUCGUGAAUUCAUCUCCGGGGGUAGAGCACUGUUUCGGCUAGGGGGCCAUCCCGGCUUACCAACCCGAUGCAAACUGCGAAUACCGGAGAAUGUUAUCACGGGAGACACACGGCGGGUGCUAACGUCCGUCGUGAAGAGGGAAACAACCCAGACCGCCAGCUAAGGUCCCAAAGUCAUGGUUAAGUGGGAAACGAUGUGGGAAGGCCCAGACAGCCAGGAUGUUGGCUUAGAAGCAGCCAUCAUUUAAAGAAAGCGUAAUAGCUCACUGGUCGAGUCGGCCUGCGCGGAAGAUGUAACGGGGCUAAACCAUGCACCGAAGCUGCGGCAGCGAACGUAUCACCCAAGACAACUUUACGGAGUUGACGAUUGACGGAGCGAAGCGACGUCAAAGCGUUCAUUAAAGUCGAGUUGGCUUAGGGAUACGUUCGUUGGGUAGGGGAGCGUUCUGUAAGCCUGUGAAGGUGUGUCGUGAGGCAU
rnacentral:rRNA from 1 species